GACGAACGCUGGCGGCGUGCUUAACACAUGCAAGUCGAACGGAAAGGCCCUGCUUUUGUGGGGUGCUCGAGUGGCGAACGGGUGAGUAACACGUGAGUAACCUGCCCUUGACUUUGGGAUAACUUCAGGAAACUGGGGCUAAUACCGGAUAGGAGCUCCUGCUGCAUGGUGGGGGUUGGAAAGUUUCGGCGGUUGGGGAUGGACUCGCGGCUUAUCAGCUUGUUGGUGGGGUAGUGGCUUACCAAGGCUUUGACGGGUAGCCGGCCUGAGAGGGUGACCGGCCACAUUGGGACUGAGAUACGGCCCAGACUCCUACGGGAGGCAGCAGUGGGGAAUAUUGCACAAUGGGCGGAAGCCUGAUGCAGCAACGCCGCGUGCGGGAUGACGGCCUCGGUGUAACGACUUCGUCCUCGUGACGAAGACGUGAGUGACGGUAA
rnacentral:rRNA from 1 species